rfam:Azoarcus sp. BH72, complete genome
GGGGCUGUAGCUCAGCUGGGAGAGCGGCGGCUUUGCAAGCCGUAGGUCGUCGGUUCGAUCCCGACCAGCUCCA